rnacentral:sRNA from 1 species
GCCAGGCACAGUGGUACAUACCUGUAAUCCCAGCUACUUUGGAGGCUGAGGCAGGAGAAUCUCAAGUUUGAGGCCAGCCUGGGCAACUUAGAGAGACUCUGUCUCAA